UACGGAGGGAGCUAGCGUUGUUCGGAAUUACUGGGCGUAAAGCGCACGUAGGCGGCUCAGCAAGUCAGGGGUGAAAUCCCGGGGCUCAACCCCGGAACUGCCUUUGAAACUGCUAAGCUAGAAUCCUGGAGAGGCGAGUGGAAUUCCGAGUGUAGAGGUGAAAUUCGUAGAUAUUCGGAAGAACACCAGUGGCGAAGGCGACUCGCUGGACAGGUAUUGACGCUGAGGUGCGAAAGCGUGGGGAGCAAACAGG
rnacentral:rRNA from 1 species